AUUGAACGCUAGCGGGAUGCUUUACACAUGCACGUCGAACGAGUGGCGGACGGGUGAGUAAUACAUCGGAACGUGCCCAGUAGCGGGGGAUAACUACUCGAAAGAGUAGCUAAUACCGCACACUAUUGGAGCGGCCGCUAUCGGAUUAGCUAGUUGGUGGGGUAAAGGCUCACCAAGGCCACGAUCCAUAGCUGGUUUGAGAGGAUGACCAGCCAAACUGGGACUGAGACACGGCCCAGACUCCUACGGUAGGCAGCAGGGGGGAAUUUUGGACAAUGGGGGAAACCCUGAUCCAGCCAUCCCGCGUGUAUGAGAAGGCCUUCGGGUUGUAAAGUACUUUUGGCAGAGAAGCGGUAUCUGCAGAAUAAGCACCGGCUAACUACGUGCCAGCAGCCGCGGUAAUUC
rnacentral:rRNA from 1 species